ACUCUGUGCCCCUCACAAAAAAAAAAAACUGCCCACGUCCCCUCACAGUCGGCACUCGCAGCAACCGCAAGCCAGCGAGCUUCCGAAAAAUGGUGUCCAUUCCGCUUUUGUACAGUGGCGUGCUCGGCUUCACCGGUGUCGUCGCUGGUGCCGUCGGCUCGCACGCGCUGAAGGCAAAAUCCGCGGAAGAGCGCAACGCCUUCGUCAUCAGCUCUCAGUACCAGCUCAUGCACAGCAUAGCAGCACUCGGCGCCAUUGGGUUAAGCCAGGCAGUGCGGAGCUGGAAUCCGGUCGCGGCGAAGCGGCUGCGAAUCGCCGCAUGGAUGUUCCUGCUCGGGACGACGCUCUUCUCGGGCACCGUGUACGCACGCGUGUUUGGCGCCCCCAAGUCUGUGGGUCAGCUGGCCCCGACGGGUGGCUACAUCUUGAUGGGUGGCUGGGCCUGCCUCAUUGCUGCCGCUGUCGCACUGUGAGAGCGCAGAAGAGAUAUAUAUAAAAAAGCAUACAAAUGUGCAGAUCAUUAUCCAACGAACGGUGAAAGUGGUCAGAGCACAUGUCAGGGGUGUGGGGUCGCUGCGCUAUUCUUGUUUUGCAUUCGAGUGCCGCCAACACGCGCACGCGCAACCGCGUACGCCCUCCGGCGGCCCUAGGCCAUCGGGAUAUCCACUAUUGUUUCUCGUCUCGUCAUCGCCCACCUCAUCCGCUUCACUAUCAUCACCUCCUGCAGAAGGUGCCUUCUUUUAUCCCUCUUCCCUCGCCGUUUCUUCUGCUGUCCGCUACUCCCACGCCCUGCCCCGACACGCACACGCACACGUUGGCCGAACCCUGUCCCACGCACUCACGCCUCGAGACAG
rnacentral:misc_RNA from 1 species